rnacentral:rRNA from 1 species
UUAGAUUUUUUUAAUUAAGGGUUGGGCCUGCCCGGUGAUUUUUAACGGCCGCAGUUAAGAGCUGUGCUAAGGUAGCGUAAUAAGUUGUCCUUUAAAUGGGGAAAGGAAUGAAUGGUUUGACGUGGGAAAUUCUGUCUCUCUGAGAAUGAGUGAAAUUUUCUUUUCAGUGAAAAGCCUGAAAUUAUAUUAAAAGACGAGAAGACCCUGUCGAGCUUAAAUAAGUGUUAAAGAUUUUUAACACAAAAAUUUGGUUGGGGCAACCUAGGAGCAAAAAAAGACUCCUUUAAGUAUAUAAGGAUCCAAAAGUUUUGAAAAAAGAAAAAGCUACCGCAGGGAUAACAGCGUUAUCCUCCCUAAGAGAACAAAUUGAAGGGAGGGUUUGCGACCUCGAUGUUGAAUUAAAAUUUCCGCUAGGCGUAGAAGCUUAAAUGGUAAGACUGUUCGUCUUUUAAAAU